rnacentral:rRNA from 1 species
CCCUUAGAUGUUCUGGGCCGCACGCGCGCUACACUGACGAAUGCAACGAGCUUAUAACCUUGGCCGAAAGGUCUGGGUAAUCUCCAAAUUUCGUCGUGAUGGGGAUAGAUUAUUGCAAUUAUUAAUCUUCAACGAGGAAUGCCUAGUAAACGCAAGUCAUCAACUUGCAUUGAUUACGUCCCUGCCCUUUGUACACACCGCCCGUCGCUCCUACCGAUUGAAUGGUCCGGUGAAGCGUUCGGACCGUGGCCUUUGGACGGUUCGCCGUCUGUUGGCUGCGGGAAGUUCGUUAAACCUUAUCAUUUAGAGGAAGGAGAAGUCGUAACA